CCUACGGGUGGCAGCAGUGAGGAAUAUUGGUCAAUGGGCGGGAGCCUGAACCAGCCAAGUCGCGUGAGGGAAUACGGUCCUAUGGGUCGUAAACCUCUUUAGCCGGGGAGCAAGGCCCGGCACGAGUGCCGGUCGGGAGAGUACCCGGAGAAUAAGCAUCGGCUAACUCCGUGCCAGCAGCCGCGGUAAUACGGGGGAUGCGAGCGUUAUCCGGAUUUAUUGGGUUUAAGGGGUGCGUAGGCGGACUUUUAAGUCAGCGGUAAAAUGUCGGGGCUCAACCCCGUCCGGCCGUUGAAACUGGGGGUCUUGAGUGGGCGAGAAGUAUGCGGAAUGCGUGGUGUAGCGGUGAAAUGCAUAGAUAUCACGCAGAACGCCGAUUGCGAAGGCAGCAUACCGGCGCCCUACUGACGCUGAGGCACGAAAGCGUGGGGAUCGAACAGGAUUAGAUACCCUAGUAGUC
rnacentral:rRNA from 1 species